rnacentral:rRNA from 1 species
UACGUAGGGGGGCAAGCGUUGUCCGGAUUUAUUGGGCGUAAAGAGCGUGUAGGCGGCCAGGUAGGUCUGCUGUGAAAACUCGAGGCUUAACCUCGAGCUGUCGGCGGAAACCAUCUGGCUAGAGUCCGGAAGAGGAGAAUGGAAUUCCCGGGUGUAGCGGUGAAAUGCGCAGAUAUCGGGAGGAACACCGGUGGCAAAGGCGGUUCUCUGGGCCUGUG